AACGAACGCUGGCGGCGUGCCUAACACAUGCAAGUCGAGGGAGAAAAGGGACUUCGGUUCCUGAGAAAACCGGCGCACGGGUGAGUAACACGUAGGUAACGUACCCUGGAGUCUGGGAUAACCAGUCGAAAGACUGGCUAACACCGGAUACGACUGUAGCGACCUCGGUCGCGGCAGUGAAAGAUGGCCUCUGUUUACAAGCUAUCGCCCCUGGAUCGGCCUGCGCACCAUUAGCUAGUUGGUGAGGUAACGGCUCACCAAGGCUGAGAUGGUUAGCUGGUCGGAGAGGAUGACCAGCCACACUGGGACGGGGAAACGGCCCAGACUCCUACGGGAGGCAGCAGUGGGGAAUAUUGCGAAAUGGGCGAAAGCCUGACGCAGCGACGCCGCGUGGGUGAUGAAGGCCUUCGGGUCGUAAAGCCCUGUCGGGAGGGAAGAAACGUUUCGAGCCUAAUAUGCUCGAGAAUUGACGGUACCUCCUAAGGAAGCACCGGCUAACUCCGUGCCAGCCGCCGCGGUAAGAC
rnacentral:rRNA from 1 species